rnacentral:tRNA from 1 species
GAGUGGGCCCAGUCAGAUUGCUAACCUGACCCACCAAGACUAGCCCCUUGGCC